rnacentral:rRNA from 1 species
UACGUAGGGGGCAAGCGUUGUCCGGAUUUAUUGGGCGUAAAGAGCGUGUAGGCGGCCUGGAAGGUCAGCUGUGAAAACUCGAGGCUCAACCUCGAGACGUCGGUUGAAACCACCUGGCUAGAGUCCGGAAGAGGAGAGUGGAAUUCCCGGUGUAGCGGUGAAAUGCGCAGAUAUCGGGAGGAACACCGGUGGCGAAGGCGGCUUCCUGGACACUUACUGACGCUGAGACGCGAAAGCGUGGGGAGCAAACAGG